rnacentral:rRNA from 1 species
AAUAGAUACCCUGGUAGUCCUAGCCGUAAACGAUGAACACUAGGCGUAGUCGGUAUCGACCCCGGCUGUGCCGUAGCUAACGCAUUAAGUGUUCCGCCUGGGGAGUACGGCCGCAAGGCUAAACUCAAAGGAAUUGACGGGGGCCCGCACAAGCAGCGGAGCGUGUGGUUUAAUUCGUCGCAACGCGAAGAACCUUACCAGGGCUUGACAUGUGGCGGAAAACGGCGGAAACGUCGUCCUCCCGCAAGGGACCGUCAUGCAAGUGUUGCAUGGCUGUCGUCAGCUCGUGUCGUGAGAUGUUGGGUUAAGUCCCGCAACGAGCGCAACCCCCGUGGCAUGUUGUAUCUCUCAUGCCAGACUGCCGAGAGAAACUCGGAGGAAGGUGGGGAUGACGCCAAGUCAGCAUGGCCCUUACGUCCUGGGCUACACACACGCUACAAUGGCCGGUACAACGGGUUGCCAAACCGCGAGGUGGAGCUAAUCCCUUAAAGCCGGUCUCAGUUCGGAUUGCAGGCUGCAACUCGCCUGCA